rnacentral:rRNA from 1 species
AUUGAACGCUGGCGGCAGGCCUAACACAUGCAAGUCGAGCGGAUGAAGGGAGCUUGCUCCUGGAUUCAGCGGCGGACGGGUGAGUAAUGCCUAGGAAUCUGCCUGGUAGUGGGGGAUAACGUCCGGAAACGGGCGCUAAUACCGCAUACGUCCUGAGGGAGAAAGUGGGGGAUCUUCGGACCUCACGCUAUCAGAUGAGCCUAGGUCGGAUUAGCUAGUUGGUGGGGUAAAGGCCUACCAAGGCGACGAUCCGUAACUGGUCUGAGAGGAUGAUCAGUCAAACGGAAACUGAAAAACGGUCCAGCCCCCAACGGGGGGCAGCGGGGGGGAAUAUUGGAAAAGGGGCGAAAGCCUGACCCAGCCAUGCCGGGGGUGUGAAGAAGGUUUUCGGAUUGGAAAGCCUUUUAAGUUGGGGGGAAGGGAAGAAAGUUAAUACCUGGCUGUUUUGACGUUACCAAAAAAAAAAGCACCGGCUAAUUUCUU